UAUGUGAUAAUAUAGCUAACAGUUAAAAGUAAAUUUAGAUCAUGAUGUUCUUCACAAAUUAAAAUUAAAAUAAUUUUUUUCUUUUCCGAAUCAUAUGGAUUGAAAGUUUUAAUCUUAAAAUGAGGUAUUGAGUAAAUAAGUUCAUAUAAAAAACAUCAAAAUUUCAGAUUCGCUCGUUAUUCUAUUCAUUCUCCUCUCAAAAACAUAAAAAUUAUUAGAUUAAAAAGAAUUCCAAGAGUGGGCUUCUUGUUCUAGCAAAACUAGGAUUUAGGGUUCUUAGAGAAAAGAUUAGAAAGAAGAGAAGCAACUAAAAACUGGGGAGUGGAAUUGAGUGGAAUUGAUACUGCUAAUUCCUGUGCUCCUAUUGCUUCUAAGAUGGGUUACUUGCAGGAUGCUCGAGAGAAUCAUGUGAAGAAGAAAGUAGGGGAAGCUUUGCGUAGCAAAAUGAAGCAGAAGGCGUUCAGGGAGUAUGAUCAUUACGCCUCGAGGUAUGCCGAAUGCGUCUACGCCAAAACGUUAUCUGUUGUUUUCAAGUGUCGCAAUCAAGCUUAAGAACUGAACGAUUGCCUUCUCCAAUAUGGUUGGAUUCAUAUCAUGUUUUCUUUUCAUUUUCCAACACCAACGACAACGUGUUGGAAAAGAUGAAGUGGGAGUAUGCACUUCAACAAAAUGGCAAGCCGUGAGGAAGAGUAUAACAUCAUUCAUGGCCGUUAACAUUCAUUCUUAAAGGUCGGUCAAGAUUCAUAACCUUAACACUUCAAAUGUAUAUACUUUUCUUAUUAGAACGAUAGUCUAAUUAAAGUUGGUGUAAAACUUUGAUUGUUCUACCUACUUAUAUAUAUAUAUAUAUUUUUGGUGGUGCAAAUCCAAUCCUACUUUAUACAAAUGAUAGGACGAAACAUGCAAAUUAA